CUCUCUCUCUCUCCCUCCCUCUCUCUUUCUCUCUCUUGCGGGCAGAGAGAAGAAACCCACGCGCGCACGCGGUGAUGUCUUACUGGUGAUAAUUGGCCCGGGGGUCGGGUCUGACGGGAACAGAAAGUUUUGAGGGAGUUUACUGCUGAUGCAAGGUGACUGGUUGGAUAAAGAAGUCCAAAGUUAUUUUUUUAUCUGUAGAACAAAUAAAGCCUGGCCAAAGGGUGUAUUAUCACAACAUCGGGAAAUGAGACUAAGGUAUAGGACUUCUUUUAUCUUGGACUGUCCCAAAAACUCAUCCUAAGUAACCAAGCUGAAUCCCUCAG